GAUGAACGCUAGCGGCAGGCCUAAUACAUGCAAGUCGAGGGGUAAAUAUGUAGCAAUAUAUAUGAGACCGGCGCACGGGUGCGUAACACGUAUGCAACCUACCUUUUACUGGGGAAUAGCUCAGAGAAAUCUGAAUUAAUACCCCAUAAUAUUAUGAAAUGGCAUCAUUUUAUAAUUAAAGCUCCGGCGGUAAAAGAUGGGCAUGCGGAACAUUAGCUAGUUGGUGAGGUAAUGGCUCACCAAGGCUACGAUGUUUAGGGGGUCUGAGAGGAUGAUCCCCCACGCUGGUACUGAGACACGGACCAGACUCCUACGGGAGGCAGCAGUAGGGAAUAUUGGGCAAUGGACGAAAGUCUGACCCAGCCAUGCCGCGUGCAGGAUGACUGUCCUAUGGAUUGUAAACUGCUUUUAUAUGGGAANAAACCCUUGGAUGCGUCCGAGGCUGACGGUACCAUAUGAAUAAGGAUCGGCUAACUUCGUGCCAG
rnacentral:rRNA from 1 species